rnacentral:lncRNA from 1 species
CUUUUAAUUUUUUCUAUUUCUUUGUCAUUGUCUCUUUUUGUUUCUGGAUUUUUUUUCAAAUUUCACUUCCCAUUCUGGGGAGGACUUAUAUUGAGCACCGGAACUAAACGACUGUACUGGAAUGAACUUGUUGCCCUGUUGUCAUUUCCAGUCUCGCAAGGCACAGUGAAUAUCAAAAAUUAAAUGACUUUCUGGAACUAAAUUGCUGCCUUGCCAUUGUUUCCUUGUCUGGGGAAGACUUAUAGCAAAUACCAGAGUUUAAAUGCUGCCCUGAAACAACACUGCUGCCCUGCCGUUGUUUUCCAGUCUGGGGAAGACUUAAAUGGGCACUGGAACUUAAUCUCGACCUUUUAGUUGUUUCUGAGCUAGAGGAAGGCUCCACUCACGCACCUGGGAUUUGUGGAAAACCCAGCUGGGGAUUUGGGCCUUCCUCUGGAUUGUGCCCCUGAGGCACUAUGGUCCUGGCCAGUUUGUUUAACUUGGCAUCCCCACUGAUCAGAGUGCUGAGAUCAGCUUUCUGUGAUGAACACCCAGGUCAUUGUUUCCAGCUCACCCCAAGUAGUUAAGCUUUCCUGACACUCCCAAUGGUUCUGAUCAAAUAGGACCAGAAUGGACUUCGCAUGAAGAUUCCUAGACCAGUGGGGAGAUCGAAUAUUCACCUCCAAUUCCCUCCUUCACUAGCAACCAUGGGUCUAGGGAAAAUCUCUGUGAGUGGUACUAUGCCAGCUUAGGGGAAGGGGUGGCACAGUGUUAAAUGACUGUUCAUCCUACCUGUCAUGGCUUCUCUCAAUUCUGUGUGCCUUGGUGGUUUCUCUGCUUCCCCUCUGAGUUCUGGUAUAUUCAUGGUGGUAUUCUUGUCAUUGAAUGGUUUCUAAUUGUAUUUUUGUCAGGGACGUGAUGCUGGGGGAUUGUCUGUUCCACCAUCUUGCUAAUAUCACUCUGAAACUCUAUUUUUGAAUAAUUUUAGAUCUAUAGAAAAGUAGCAGAAAUAAUACAGAGUUAUUUGAUUUUUCACUCAGUAUCCCCAAAUGUUAACAUAGCACCAUGGUAUAGUUAUCAAACCAAGGAACCAAUAUUGGGAAAUUACUAUUCAUGAAACUUCACUCUUUUUUUUUGAUUUUACCAGGUUUUCCACUGAUGUCUGUCCCAAGGUCUGAUUGAGGAUCCCACAGUGCAUGUAUUUCAACAGGCUUUUAGUAAAUAUUGGGAUUCCAGGCUUUGUCUCUGGCUAGAUAUGAGAGUACAAAUCCUCUGUGCCCCUCCACCUCCCCAGACAGUCAUGCUGUACAAUCUUGGGACAUAGGGUAAAGUGAAGGGCCUCUUCGGGCAGGCAGGUAAGUCAUCAGGCCACUCCAUGGGCCCUGGGAGACCAUCAGCACACAGUUGGGCCCUUCCUCAGCAAGCAGCUCUGUGUUCUCAGCAGUAGGAAUGAGUAAGCAUUGAGGCCUCAAUAGUUGGCAAAAAGCAGAUCUUCCUGUGGGAAAAAUACUUUGAAUAAGGAAGAAAAAGGAGAUUUGUAUUAUAUAAGUUUGGCUGUCUCUAAUUUAAAGAAAGUUAAACUUUAUUGCACAACGACUACUAGUUCUUUCUUCUUCUUCUUCCUUCUCCUCCUCUUCCUUCUCCUUUUUCUCCUGUCUCCUCCUACUUCUCCUUGUCCUUUUUCUCCUCCUCCUUCUCCUUCCCUUCUCCUCCUCUUUUUCUCCUCCUCCUCCUUCUUCUUUCCCUUCUCCUUCUUCUCCUCCUCCUUCUCCCCCCCUUCUCUUUCUCCUCCUCCUUCUCCUUCUUUCUUCUCCUCCUCCUCCUUCUCUUCUCCUCUCCUCCUCCUUCUCCUUUUUUCUUCUCCUCCUUCUCCUCCUUCUUCUCUUCCUUCUCAUUCUUCCCCUUCUUCUUUUCCUUCGUUUCCUCCCCCCCCUCCACCUCCUCUCAAAUUUAGUUUUCCACGGAAUCCCCCGUCCUUUGGAAAUUUUUUUUUUGCUUAGUAUCUGUUUAUUUCUCCCAGAAUCAUAGUUUGGAAUUAAUGGACACAUAGUAGUUAAUCAGAUGAUAGAGAUUAAAGUGAAGGGAGGCAUACACUGGAAUAGCAAAAUAUGUUUGCAGUGAAACCCAAUGAAUAGAAUACUUCAUGUUAGGGUGAAGUAUUGGAGGAAAAACAAAUACUUUCAUUAAAAUCAAAGCUACUCUUCAGAAUUUCAUUAUUUUCUUUUAAUGAGAAAUGUGUGUGUUGGUCGUCUUGUCGUCUUUGACUCUUAAAAUGUAACCAAGCAAAUUUUAAACUAUAUCUCUAAAGUGCCUAAGUGUGAUGCCUACGUUACCUUUAACUUAACUUCGUUAGUGGCAGAGGUUCCAUGAGUUAUGAGUACUCUGCUCUGUGAAUGUCUCCAUUUUUGAGGUGCCUUUGUGGAGUAUUGAUAGGGACCAUUCCUGGGCUCCACUUACAGACUUCUGUUGGGGAACAGGAUCUCACAAAGCAGAACAGGAGUUUGUGAUAAGGAAGAGGACAAAGAGAGCAGGUCCUUGUGUUCUUCAAAAACGGUGAACAUUAUCCUACUGAUUUUGGACCAAGGCAGUUCUCCAGUGGGAAGUGACACAGAACCUACCACAGUGCCUUCCAAUCCAGGUUUUUGGUAAUGAGUGAUGAAUGAAUCCCAUGAGAGCAGAGCCCCAUGGAGCGGGUGGCAAAUGUUGCUCUCUGACUACAGUUCUCUCCUUAGGGAUGCUAACACAGACUGCCUCAGAUGCAGGCAGGGCUGCUUGUCCACACUGAUCAGGCAUGGAUUUGCAUUAACAUCUGUAGUGCCCUUUACUUGUGCAGUGAGAUACUGGGAUAUACAACAGAAUAGGUGCUGGAAGAGGCAUCCACUACAGUGUGGGCAGACUCUUUGGAUCUGUAUUAAUAACAGCCUCUCCCAUGGAUUAGCUAGUCCAGGCUUUGGUGCUUUAUUUCCUCCCAAAAUAAUGGAGUGUGUACUCCUUAGUUAUGUGUAGCACCAAGAAAAUUAAUCCAGAUGUCAUUUUUUUUUUUCCCCUCCAGCGUGGCUGGAUACUUGGCAGGGCACACAAUCACAUGGUCUUCAGAUCUUCUAAAAGCUGAUUUUCCUGGGCCUAAUCCCAUGAGAGUUGGAGACAGUCUAUGAUAAUUACUGAUUCAGCUCCUGCUGGUGUUGAACUUACUGAGAAACUUAAACAAGAAUUAAAAUACACACCCACACACCCUCAGAUGGAGCCAAACACUAAACCAGAUUAGUCUUUCGUGGUCACCUUUUCUUCAGGAUUAGGAGGAUCAGAAAGCAAGAGCAGAUUCUGAAACACUGUAACCCCAUUCCCUACUGGGUCAUAAGAGGCUGGUGUUCUUGAGGACGAAGGUCGGCAGCAGGUGCCAACUAGGUACUGGCUUCUGGUCCCCACAGAGCUGACCUGCCACAGCCCAAGCGUCUUGUUUUGGUUAAAAAAUGAGUCUCUUGGCCUUUCAUGCCUGGGCGUUCUCCGAAACUCAGAUGUUUGUGAACCAGGUUCAGGGACUCUCAAGUUCAAGUCACUGGCAGAUUGGAGAAAAGACCUAGAAGUUCUAAGUGUCUGAGGUAAUGAGAGGAGGGACGCAAAGCCUCAUUCAAUGAGACUGCAAAGUCACCUGAAUGGGAAAGCUUGCCCUAUUGCUGGCCUCGGCAAUGGCACCUUCAGGUUGUCCCCUGUACGGGUUGAUGAGGGAGUGGAGGACCCCAGGUCCCUUCUUAAUGUCAGCCUUGGCCACAGGUUUCGAUGAAAUUUAGUAUGUUGAUUAGGAGCUGCCAAAAUCAGAGCAACUCCCCUCCCAAGGGGACGUUUAGUUUUCAGUUGUUAAAAAUACACCCUGAGACAGAAAUUUUGGGACACUUAAGUGACUUUGAAAUCCAUCCAAAGGUUACUCUGUUCCUUCACUCCACACAGCUCAGGCAUUUCCAUGUUGGUCUCAGCUGCCAUCUCAAUGGUUUAUUCUUUUUACAUGUUGGAGCAGAUCUGGACCUCCCAAAAUGUUUUGGGGAGAAGUGGGCUUAGAGGGGUUUUCCCUGCUCUGUGAGAGAAGGAAUUUAGCAAGGAUUAAUUUUUCUAAGAAGGUGGCACAAGUUUUGAUGUGAUUUGCUGGAAAAUAGUAAUAGUCACAAUUUAUCUUAUUCCCCCAAGAGAAUGGGAUGAUGUUCCCAUGGAACUUUGCUCAUCCUGCUAGCAAUAACUUGUAUUCUCUUUCUGAUUCACACAAACAAGGAUCAGAGGGUGAUGGUGGGGGAAAUGAUACCAGGAAAUACAGUUCGUUUUUUGCAGGGAUUCAGAAUGUGUUGCUGGACUUCAAGAUAGGAAGAAUCUUUGCCUUGAUGGCUGAUGACAGUAACCACCCCACCUACCAUCAUCUAUUAAGGAUUUACUGUGUGGUCACUUUACAGUCAUCCAAGUAAAUUUUCGUAAUCACCUGAUUACAUGGGUACCGCUUUUCAGAAAAAGAAACAGAUUUCUGGAGGGUAAGUAACCCAAAUCGUACAGCUGAGCCAUCUGUCUGCAUCUCAAGCAUUGAGGCAGCAUUCGGCCUCCGAGGGUGUUGUCAAAUGUGCUGGUCUCUGUUAACUCAGGGUUUUGGAUUAAUGGGUGGAGCUGCUCAUUUUCACAAACACCCAGGAUGCAGUCUGCACCCUCUAUUUAAAGUGAGGUCCCUGGACGAGCAACACGGCAGCACCUGGCUGCUUGUCAGCAAUGCAGAACAUCAGGCACUCCCUGGAGCUACAGCACAAGAUCCCCAGGCAGGCGCAUGUGCAUCCAAGUUUGAGCCACACUGCUUUCUGCCACUACGGAGGAAUAAGAGAGCUGCUACCUCACUUCAGCAAUGGAAAAUGUUGCUGUAAAUCCCAUCGGACCAGCCAGUUUCUCACGACCCUUUAAAACUGAAAACGGAUGACCCGGUCCUAGGCAGGGACCAAAAUUCCUUGUCAGCUGAGGAAGUCCCGAAGAAACAUCCUGAAGAUGAUGACUGCACUGCCAUCGUGGGCAGAUGCAGCUUCCAUCUACCUGAGGGCUGAAGGGGAAAACCUUUCACACACGUGAGGAAGGCGCAGCUCUGUGGAAAGGUCACUAGAAUGGCAGCGGCAGCAAAUAGGGCUCCAAUGCACGUUUGCAGUUAACUGGGUCCAAGGAGAGCAUGGCCCUCCACAGCAAGUUUGCUCUAUAGAAUAAAGUCCUGAGCUUGUUUUUAUCACAGUUAGACAGAGAAUGGUCUCCUGUUUCUCAGUUAUCCAGGGAAGAACAGUGUAUAUUCUCUGUAGAUGAGUGUUGUCUAAUGUAGUGAUUAAUCUCUGCUAGUGUUAGGAAAGCUCCACUACUGUGUGUGUGUGUGUGCGUGCACGCGCGUGCGCAUGUGCACAUACUGCAAUCUUGACUUUCCAAUUACAGAAUGCCUAAGUCAGGUCACAUUGUCUUCUUCCAGCCAGUUUCUAAGGCAGGCAAUGGAAACAGGAGCCGAUGCCAAAUGGUCUAGAGGCAGAAGGGCUGCAUGCUUUGCAGGGCCAGCCCCAAGGCUGCCUUCCAGAGCUGCACUUUCUCUGGGGACAGUAAACUCUCACCGCAGCUGCCAGCCCCCUGUGCUUGGCCAUGCCCCUCACAUGGACUUGGAAUCAGUGUCUCUCUUGCUGAUGAGCACCUCCAGGAGCCUCAGUUUCGCCUUUAUGUGCUUAUAUUCACUGUAUUCUUCAGCCAUAGGAGUGCGGUCUUCCUUCUGGACAUUUCUAAUGCAAAUAAAGGAAAAAGGGGUCUAAGGAUCAUUUUCUGUCUUUGCUAGAUACUAUUCAUCGGGCAAAUUAUCAUUGUUUAGAAACUUUGCAGUUUAUCAACUUGUAGAAUCAGUGUUGCCGAGUGGCCCUUGGUCUCAAGACUGGGGCUGGAUUUAGACAAGUGAUGAAAAUGUUUCACCCAGAAGGCAACAUGCAACUGAGUUUUUAUAUAGUUAAUCUGGCAUCUUGUAUGGUAAGAAGGCUAAGAAAUGCAGAAAUUCUCUCUGCUAAGUAUGAAUUCACAUUGAGCUCUCAUACACCAAAAUCUUUUAUUCAUACUUAAUGUUUUCUCAUUCUUAUAUAUUUCAUCUCGUGAAAUUUUAAAUUUUUAAUUAGCAACUGGUCCACAACUUAGUUUUUUUUUUUUUCAAAAACAGAUAGUUAAUACUCCUACUUAUUAUAAAACUGUCUUAGAAUUCAGCAGCUGGAUUACAUAAUACUAUUAUAAUAAGCCUUUAUUAUUGAGUAACUUUACAUACAUAAUAUUUAUAUGCACAAGUAUUUGAGAGCUUAUAGGUCAAGCCCUGUGCUAAGUACUUUGUACCCAUGAUCUGAUAGAACCCUUAUAACACCUUGAUGAGAUGGAGCCAUUUUCUACACACUACACAUGAUGAAACCAGCACAGGAAAUCAGAUAACUUGCCUGCUCUUGGCCACCACGCGGUGCGCUGCUGCUUUGUGUUUUAUGGGAAAUUGCACAUGGCAAACAUUCAACCAUAGGCUUCCUGCCUUUAUUAGUAAAGGGCAAAUGUGGGUAAGGAGGAUAGCAUGGGGCUUGAUUUGUUCAAUGACCUAAAAAUAAACUGAUCUUAUUCAUACCCUGCCUUGUUCUAGGAAAGGAUUCUAGUGGCUUCUCAGCAGAGGGCAGGGCAAGGAACAGGUGCUCAGGAAUUGGAGCAUCUGGCACGCAGGCCCCCACUGCACUCUGAGGGGCUUCACUCUCCUCAGACACGAAGUCAUGGAACCAGAGCUUAUCUCCUAAGUCCCUCAUGGUUUUAAACUUUUUUGACAAUUAAGUUAACGUCCUCCAUUGACAUUUUCUUAAAACCUGGGUGGUUUGCAUAAUUCUACAUGUAUAAGAUAUCUGUGCAUAAUGUGACUUAGAAUAAUAUAAAAAAGGAUAAGCCAAAAAAUAGGCUUAGAUGAAAGACUGGAAAGAUACACAUCAAAACAUUAAUUCUGACUUGUCUUUGGUUAUUAUUGUUUUGGGAAUUACUACUUAAAUUUGCUUACCUAUAUUUUCU